AAACCAACCGGGAUUGCCUCAGUAACGGCGAGUGAAGCGGCAAAAGCUCAAAUUUGAAAUCUGGCCCUGUGGUCCGAAUUGUAAUUUGAAGAAGCGACUCUGGUACCGGCCCUUGUCUAUGUUCCUUGGAACAGGACGUCACAGAGGGUGAGAAUCCCGUGCGAUGGGGAGUCCGGAGCCAUGUAGAGCGUUUUCGACGAGUCGAGUUGUUUGGGAAUGCAGCUCUAAGUGGGUGGUAAAUUCCAUCUAAAGCUAAAUACAGGCGAGAGACCGAUAGCGAACAAGUACUGUGAAGGAAAGAUGAAAAGAACUUUGAAAAGAGAGUGAAAAAGUACGUGAAAUUGUUGAAAGGGAAGGGCUUGGGAUCAGACUUUGUAUUUCCAUGGCGUUCUUUCGGGAGCGUCCUCUGGGUUUACGGGGCCAGCAUGGGUUCUGCGGGCAAGACAAGGGGGCCAGGAACGUGGCUCUGCUUCGGCGGAGUGUUAUAGCCUGGUCUUUCGGUUGCCACGCGGGACUGAGGACUGCGAAUCUAGGAUGCUGGCAUAAU
rnacentral:rRNA from 1 species